rnacentral:rRNA from 1 species
CCUACGGGUGGCAGCAGUGAGGAAUAUUGGUCAAUGGACGAGAGUCUGAACCAGCCAAGUAGCGUGCAGGAUGACUGCCCUAUGGGUUGUAAACUUCUUUUAUACGGGAGUAAAAUAGGGUACGCAUACCCUCUUGUAUGUACCAUAUGAAUAAGGAUCGGCUAACUCCGUGCCAGCAGCCGCGGUAAUACGGAGGAUCCGAGCGUUAUCCGGAUUUAUUGGGUUUAAAGGGUGCGUAGGUGGUUUGAUAAGUCAGUGGUGAAAGUUUGAGGCUCAACCGUAAAAUUGCCGUUGAAACUGGCAGACUAGAGAACAGUAGAGGUAGGCGGAAUGUGUGGUGUAGCGGUGAAAUGCUUAGAUAUCACGCAGAACUCCGAUUGCGAAGGCAGCUUACUAGACUGCAACUGACACUGAUGCACGAAAGUGUGGGUAUCAAACAGGAUUAGAUACCCGAGUAGUC